GUCUUGCUUGUCUCAAACAAGCCUACUAUGUGUGACUCUGCACUGUGUAUGACCUUGCAGCUGCCUCUUCUUGUGAUAGGAGGAGGCAGGGCAUUUCCGGUUGUUGAUAUUUAUGAGAAGACACAUACUUGUUGUCUCCUAAAUAUCCCACUUAUGUGAAGGAUGUACGUGACUCUUUCCAGAAGACGUCGCAGAUGUUCCUGACACCUUUCCGACACCCGCGGAUGAUAUUAGCGCCACCUCGAUUUACGACUUUGUUGUUAUCUCCGUGUUUUGGACUAUAUAAGCCUGAUGUUUUUUCCUGCUCCGUUCAGCAACGUGUUGCCAAUCAAUCACCAGGAAGAAGAGCUUUACUGUGGAUGAGAUCAAACACACCUGGAAGCAGCUCCAAAGGUCAGUUUGCAGCCAAUAAUCGAGCCACGCUGCGGGUCUGAAGCGACACCGUGUUGACUUUACAGUUACAUUUUACG